AUUAAGUGUACUAGAAGUACAUUGGUAAUAAAUAUAUGCUUUAUUACAUUUUUAAGAAAUAUGCUAAACUUAAGAAUAUUUUUAAUGUAUUUAUAUUAAGUGUACUAAAAGUAUGCUGGUAAUAAAUAUAUGCAUAAUUACACUUUUAAGAAAUAUGCUAAACACAAAUGUACUUCUAGUGAAGUUUUAGUAUAUUUGGAUAAAACAUACUUUUUUCAAAACAUGAUUCAUUAAUUGUAAUAAGCUAACAUUGAACUUUCCUCAAGCCUUUCAACAUUAUAUCAUUCCGAUUGCACAAUAAGCUAUUUUUUCAAAGAUUUGCUUAAAAUCUUACUUGUUUAAUUUCAAAAUCUUACUUGUUUAAUUUCAAACAACACACAUGACACACGUGACUAAACCUGAUUGGUUGUUGUCAUAGUAACACGUCACGGUGCUAUUUGAAACUUGUUCAGUUAGGUCAGUUGUUCACGGUGCAUGCGGUUGCUUGCAGUAAACGUAUAAACUGUUAAAUUAGAUGGCGACUCUGCAUUAAACGUAUUUAUUUAAUUAAUCGGCGAUCAUAUUUCACCAGAGGACUAAGAUAAAACAACUCGAUUUAAAAUAUGAGCAGUUUUAGUGGAUCUGACGUUGAGGGAAAAAGUAUUUCGCUUUUUGUUUGGAGAUGAACGAGAUAACACGAGGCACAGCGACAUAAAUAUGACCAACCAGAUCCCAAGUAGACAGGAACAAAUGAAGAUAUAGCGCAUAGAAAGACUUAUUCUUGGUGAUCAACUGCUAUUGACAUUUUUGAAUCGGGGCAAAUGUGGAGUGAAGAAAAACGUUUGCAACACAUCCAUUCCAGGUGGCUAAUUUCUGUCCUUUUGAAUUAUUCUUGUAAAAAACGUUUUUUUUAUUGUAAAGCUGUAAGGGACUUGGCCUAGUCAUCAUUGCACCAUUUGGCAGGGCACCAGACUAACUUUUUUUACUAGGAGCACAGUGGCCCCCAACUGAAAAUUUUAGGGGCGCAACCAGAAAAUUUAGGGGCACACACGGUAAAACAACAUGCUAACCAAAUAUUCACAUGUCUACUAAUUUAGACUGUAUUACUAAUAAAUACUUUAAUUAUAGAUUCAGAAAGUACAAUGUGCUGUUUCAGAUUAGUGUCAUAUCCACUGAUCUAUAUAAAUGACUGGAUUGCACAUGACGUCACACUUGUGAAGCCACCGCGCCGCCAUGUUGGUAUACCCAAACGUUCUAUUUAAUCAAUGGACGUUAUCAGAUUUUAAUGAUAAAACAUCACUUUACUCAUCUUCGUUUUUAUAUCUGAAGUUACCCUGUACAUUAUUACAACACAAACGUCCAAAGCAUGUAAAUAGUUAUUUACUGAAAGUUGUACAUUUUGCAUUUUAAACAGUUAUUAUACAUUCAUCUUUAUUACAGUAUCAGAUCAGCAGACAGACCGCAGCAUAUUUAGUAUUAAUGACAAUAAACGUGCUCAUUCUGAAAUCUAAAUAAAUAAUCAUGCUUUGUACAGUAUGUGCAUGCAAUAAUUUGCUAGUUUUGUAAUUAUGUUAUCUUAACUUACAUGUUACCUAAACUUAUUUAGAGAUAUAAC